rnacentral:rRNA from 1 species
GACGAACGCUGGCGGCGUGCCUAAUACAUGCAAGUAGAACGCUGAAGGAGGAGCUUUCUUCCCCGGAUGAGUUGCGAACGGGUGAGUAACGCGUAGGUAACCUGCCUGGUAGCGGGUGAUAACUAUUGGAAACGAUAGCUAAUACCGCAUAAGAGUAGAUGUUGCAUGACAUUUGCUUAAAAGGUGCAAUUUCAUCACUACCAGAUGGACCUGCGUUGUAUUAGUUAGUUGGUGAAGUAACGGCUCACCAAGGCGACGAUACAUAGCCGACCUGAGAGGGUGAUCGGCCACACUGUGAAUGAGACAAGGAGCAGACACCGCCGGGAGGAAGCAGUAGGGUAUUUUCGGCAAUGGACUGAAGUCUGACCGCGCAACGGCGGGUGAAUGGAGAAGGUUUUCGGUUGGUAAAGAUCCUUUGUUAAAGUAGAAACAGUGUGAUAGUGAAAAGUUCACACUGUGACGGUAUCUUACCAGAAAGCCACGGCUAACUACGUG